AACCUGCAGAAGGAUCAUUAGUGAAAGUUUCGGGCCUGCCAUACGGACGCAAACACGUCUCUGGCGCCCAUCACUAUAUCCAUACCAACCCCUGUGCACUGUGAUGACGAAUGUCAUCGAACAAAAAAAACUCGUAUGGUUGAAUGUACGUGAAAUUGUAGGUAUAGCCUACGAACUAUACACAACUUUCGACAACGGAUCUCUUGGUUCUCCCAUCGAUGAAGAACGCAGCGAAACGCGAUAGGUAAUGUGAAUUGCAGAAUUCCGUGAAUCAUCGAAUCUUUGAACGCACCUUGCGCUCCAUGGUAUUCCGUGGAGCAUGCCUGUUUGAGUGCCGCGAAUUCUCCCUCCCCUUACGGUGGCCGAAAGGCCGAAGUAGGGCGGACGGGGUAGGAUGGGUGUUGCUGCCUGGGGAUUGUACCAGGCUCGCCCGAAAUGCAUAAGCGCCAGGACCCUCGCUACCGCUCUCUAGGGAAGAGUGGCUAAGCGACCGCUGAGCAUGGCAUGAUACGUCAUUUGCUGUGUGUGGGCGGCCGGUUGGAGAGGUGUCUGCUUUACCAGCCCUUUUUUAAUUCUGGUCUCAAAUCAGGUAGGAUCACCCGCUGAACUUAAGCAUAU
rnacentral:rRNA from 1 species